AGGCCUCCAUCAGGCAGCUUCCAGGACCCUCUAUGACUGCGUUACUGGAACUUCAAUGUGAAGAUGAGGACAUAAAGGCCUACCGGCAAGGCGCAUGGUCAGCCAGCACCCGAAGGCCUUUAAAGCUGUUGCUAGCCUCUAUUACAUCUGUACACUUGGAAGUCAUUAAAGUCCAAACUUGGAAGUCGUCAACAAAAUCUCAACCCAAGCGCAGCAGUGGAUCAAAUGGAUGAUUAGUUUUCAGCAUCAAAAGAACACCUGCUGCCUCCAUCAGUUCAACUCAUCCAUUAUGCAGCACGCUUGUAGCUACGGCUCCAGAAGCAGCAGCUUUGAAGCCAUGAAAAACCCAGACCGAGGAGCAAGAAACAAGCAAGCAACAUUGCAUUAUCAAAUAAAUGAGCAACAUCAUUUUCUUUGCUGUUCAUUUCUGGGCGAAACAAACACUAGGAACAAUUAGAUUAAGCAUCUGGUUCAAAUACAGACAGGAAUAAAAGAAAUUGCCUUCAACAAAACUCAUUUUUUAGCCUUGUAGCAAGUAAAUUCCUGAAAGGAGAAGAAAAUCCAACAACUAUUUUAAUUGCUGUUACUUUUAUUUUUACUGUUAGU